rnacentral:rRNA from 1 species
UGGGGAAUAUUGCACAAUGGGCGAAAGCCUGAUGCAGCGACGCCGCGUGAGGGAUGACGGCCUUCGGGUUGUAAACCUCUUUCAGCAGGGACGAAGCGCAAGUGACGGUACCUGCAGAAGAAGCACCGGCUAACUACGUGCCAGCAGCCGCGGUAAUACGUAGGGUGCAAGCGUUGUCCGGAAUUACUGGUCGUAAAGAGUUCGUAGGCGGUUUGUCGCGUCGUUUGUGAAAACCAGCAGCUCAACUGCUGGCUUGCAGGCGAUACGGGCAGACUUGAGUACUGCAGGGGAGACUGGAAUUCCUGGUGUAGCGGUGAAAUGCGCAGAUAUCAGGAGGAACACCGGUGGCGAAGGCGGGUCUCUGGGCAGUAACUGACGCUGAGGAACGAAAGCGUGGGUAGCGAACAGG